rnacentral:rRNA from 1 species
GACGAACGCUGGCGGCGUGCCUAACACAUGCAAGUCGAACGGAAACGCCCUGCUUUUGUGUGGUUCUCUGGUGGCGAACGGGUGAGUAACAAGUAAGUAACCAGCCCUUGACUCUGGGAGAACCUCAGGAAACAGGGGCUAAUACGACAUAGGAGCUCCUGCUGCUGGGUGGGGGGUGGAUGGUUUCGGCGGUCGGGGGUGGACACGCGGCUCAUCAGCUCGUUGGGGGGGUAGUGGCUUACCAUGGGUUUGCCGGGUAGCCGGCAUGGGAGGGUGACCGGCCACAAUACUACUGAGAUACGGCGCAGACUCGAACGGUAGGCAACAGUGGCGAAUAUUAUACAACGCGCGGAAGCCUGAUGCGACAGCGCCGCGUGCGGGAAGACGUCCUGCGGGUAGGGAACCGCUUCCGCCUGAGACGAAGCGUGAAUGACGGUAACGGGUGAAUAAGCACCGGCUAACUUCGUG